AAAUUGAAGAGUUUGAUCAUGGCUCAGCUUGAACGCUGGCGGCGUGCCUAACACAUGCAAGUCG
rnacentral:rRNA from 1 species